rnacentral:rRNA from 1 species
GAUGAACGCUGGCGGCGUGCCUAAUACAUGCAAGUCGAGCGAACGGACGAGAAGCUUGCUUCUCUGAUGUUAGCGGCGGACGGGUGAGUAACACGUGGAUAACCUACCUAUAAGACUGGGAUAACUUCGGGAAACCGGAGCUAAUACCGGAUAAUAUUUUGAACCGCAUGGUUCAAAAGUGAAAGACGGUCUUGCUGUCACUUAUAGAUGGAUCCGCGCUGCAUUAGCUAGUUGGUAAGGUAACGGCUUACCAAGGCAACGAUGCAUAACCGACCUGAGAGGGUGAUCGGCCACACUGGAACUGAGACACGGUCCAGACUCCUACGGGAGGCAGCAGUAGGGAAUCGUCCGCAAUGGGCGAAAGCCUGACGGAGCAACGCCGCGUGAGUGAUGAAGGUCUUCGGAUCGUAAAACUCUGUUAUUAGGGAAGAACAUAUGUGUAAGUAACUGUGCACAUCUUGACGGUACCUAAUCAGAAAGCCACGGCUAACUACGUG